rnacentral:rRNA from 1 species
UACGUAGGGGGCGAGCGUUGUCCGGAUUUACUGGGCGUAAAGCGCGCGCAGGCGGUCGAGCAGGUCCUCUGGGAAAGCCCCCGGCUCAACCGGGCGGAUGCGGGUGAAACCGCGCGACUGGAGGGUGGGAGAGGUAGGCGGAAUUCCCGGUGUAGUGGUGAAAUGCGUAGAUAUCGGGAGGAACACCAGUAGCGAAGGCGGCCGACUGGACCACACCUGACGCUGAGGCGCGAAGGCCAGGGGAGCGAACGGG